GCCAGGCGUGGUGGUGCGCACCUGUAAUCCCAGCUACUCAGGAGGCUGAGGCAGGAGAAUUGCUUGAACCCAGGAGGCAGAGGUUGCAGUGAGCCAAGAUUGCUCCACUGCAAUCCAGCCUGAGUGACAGAGCGAGACUCAGUCUCAA
rnacentral:SRP_RNA from 1 species